rnacentral:rRNA from 1 species
CCUACGGGUGGCUGCAGUGGGGAAUAUUGGACAAUGGGCGAAAGCCUGAUCCAGCCAUGCCGCGUGUGUGAAGAAGGCCUUCGGGUUGUAAAGCACUUUCAGUGGGGAAGAAAGCCUUGGGGCUAAUACCCUCGAGGAAGGACAUCACCCACAGAAGAAGCACCGGCUAACUCCGUGCCAGCAGCCGCGGUAAUACGGAGGGUGCGAGCGUUAAUCGGAAUUACUGGGCGUAAAGCGCGCGUAGGCGGUCUGAUAAGCCGGUUGUGAAAGCCCCGGGCUCAACCUGGGAACGGCAUCCGGAACUGUCAGGAUAGAGUGCAGGAGAGGAAGGUAGAAUUCCCGGGGUAGCGGUGAAAUGCGUAGAGAUCGGGAGGAAUACCAGUGGCGAAGGCGGCCUUCUGGACUGACACUGACGCUGAGGUGCGAAAGCGUGGGUAGCAAACAGGAUUAGAUACCCGGGUAGUC